UGGCGGACGGGUGAGUAAUGUCUGGGAAACUGCCCGAUGGAGGGGGAUAACUACUGAAACGGUAGCUAAUACCGCAUAACGUCGCAAGACCAAAGAGGGGGACCUUCGGGCCUCUUGCCAUCGGAUGUGCCCAGAUGGGAUUAGCUAGUAGGUGGGGUAACGGCUCACCUAGGCGACGAUCCCUAGCUGGUCUGAGAGGAUGACCAGCCACACUGGAACUGAGACACGGUCCAG
rnacentral:rRNA from 1 species